GACGAACGCUGGCGGCGUGCUUAACACAUGCAAGUCGAACGGAAAGGCCCAACCUUUCUGGGGUGCUCGAGUGGCGAACGGGUGAGUAACACGUGAGUAAUCUGCCCUUCACUUUGGGAUAACUUCAGGAAACUGGGGCUAAUACCGGAUAGGAGCUCAUGCUGCAUGGUGGGGGUGGGAGAGUUUCGGCGGGUGGGGAUGGACUCGCGGCUUAUCAGCUUGUUGGGGGGGUAGUGGCUUACCACGGCUUUGACGGGUAGCCGGCCUGGGAGGGUGACCGGCAAAAUUGGGACUGAGAUAGGGCCCAGAUUCCAAGGGGGGGCAGCAGUGGGGAUAAUUGCCAAAGGGGCGGAAGCCGGAUGCAGCAACGCCGCGUGCGGGAUGACGGCCUUCGGUUUUAAAACCGCUUUCGCCGGGGCCGAGGCGUGUGUGACGGUAACUGGUGAAGAAGCACCGGCUAACUACGUG
rnacentral:rRNA from 1 species